GAUGAACGCUAGCUACAGGCUUAACACAUGCAAGUCGAGGGGAAACGAUAGAGAAAGCUUGCUUUUUCUAGGCGUCGACCGGCGCACGGGUGAGUAACGCGUAUCCAACCUGCCCACCACUUGGGGAUAACCUUGCGAAAGUAAGACUAAUACCCAAUGACGUCUCUAGAAGACAUCUGAAAGAGAUUAAAGAUUUAUCGGUGAUGGAUGGGGAUGCGUCUGAUUAGCUUGUUGGCGGGGUAACGGCCCACCAAGGCGACGAUCAGUAGGGGUUCUGAGAGGAAGGUCCCCCACAUUGGAACUGAGACACGGUCCAAACUCCUACGGGAGGCAGCAGUGAGGAAUAUUGGUCAAUGGACGAGAGUCUGAACCAGCCAAGUAGCGUGCAGGAUGACGGCCCUAUGGGGUUGUAAACGUUGCUUUUAUAAGGGAAUAAAGUGGGAGUCGUGAGGCUUUUUGCAUGUACCUUAUGAAUAAGGACGGCUAAUUCCGUG
rnacentral:rRNA from 1 species